rnacentral:lncRNA from 1 species
CCACCUUCCACCAACAUGGAUAAUUUAAAAAGACAUCCCUGGUGUAUCUUAAAAGAAUCAAAAUUCCAAAGUGGGGUCAGCAAUGUAGUUUAGCUUCCUUUAUUUGUCAUUAGAAGAGAUGAUGAAAUAGAUUAUUUCUAAAGUCCCUUUCUGUUAAGUUCAGCUAUACUUCUGAGUAUGCUUCCAAGAAAGUGGGAUCUGCUUGGGUGCCUCAGGUACCUCCCCCUGGGAUCGUUGUGUUUCAUCAGUUAGACUCAAAUUGGUGCAAACAGUCUAGACAAGUAAGAAAACCAAAAAAUCAAGCCCUGAAUUGUAGCAUUUGCUGAUAUCUGAGAUGUAAAUUCUCACAUUGAAAAUUUAACAAUCCACUCUGAAGCUGCUUCAGACUGACUCCAUUCAGCACACCUCAGCUUCUUC